GGCCCAAUGGUCUAGUAGUAUGAUUCGCGCUUCGGGACUUGUCUGGUUUGCGCGAGGUCCCGGGUUCAAUUCCCGGUUGGGCCC